UACGUAGGGUGCAAGCGUUAAUCGGAAUUACUGGGCGUAAAGAGUGCGUAGGCGGUUCUUGUGUCCGCUGUGAAAGCCCCGGGCUUAACCUGGGAAUGGCAGUGGAAACUAGAGGACUUGAAUCCGGCAGAGGGGGGUGGAAUGCCACGUGUAGCAGUGAAAUGCGUAGAGAUGUGGCGGAACACCGAUGGCGAAGGCAGCCCCCUGGGCUGAGAUUGACGCUCAGGCACGAAAGCGUGGGGAGCAAACAGG
rnacentral:rRNA from 1 species